AAAGGGCUUCGGCCCUGAGUACAGUGGCGCACGGGUGAGUAACACGUGAAUCAUCUACCUCCGAGUGGGGAAUAACCUAGAGAAAUCUGGGCUAAUACCGCAUAACACUUACGAGUCAAAGCAGCAAUGCGCUUGGAGAGGAGUUCGCGGCCGAUUAGCUAGUUGGCGGGGUAAUGGCCCACCAAGGCGAUGAUCGGUAUCCGGCCUGAGAGGGCGCACGGACACACUGGAACUGAAACACGGUCCAGACUCCUACGGGAGGCAGCAGUGGGGAAUUUUGCGCAAUGGGGGAAACCCUGACGCAGCAACGCCGCGUGGAGGAUGAAAUCCCUUGGGAUGUAAACUCCUUUCGAUGGGGAAGAUUAUGACGGUACCCAUAGAAGAAGCCCCGGCUAACUCCGUGCCAGCAGCCGCGGUAAUACGAGGGGGGCAAGCGUUGUUCGGAAUUAUUGGGCGUAAAGGGUGCGUAGGCGGUCUGACAAGUCUGAUGUGAAAUCUAUGGGCUCAACCCAUAGUCUGCAUCGGAAACUGUC
rnacentral:rRNA from 1 species